UUAACUGAAGCCAAAAAUGAGGCAUUUCAUUGUUAAUGAAAUUAAUGAUUUCAAUAAUCCAGUUAAA
rnacentral:tRNA from 1 species